rnacentral:rRNA from 1 species
GACGAACGCUGGCGGCGUGCUUAACACAUGCAAGUAGAACGAAGAGCGAUGGAAGCUUGCUUCUAUCAAUCUUAGUGGCGAACGGGUGAGUAACGCGUAAUCAACCUGCCCUUCAGAGGGGGACAACAGUUGGAAACGACUGCUAAUACCGCAUACGAUCUAAUCUCGGCAUCGAGGAUAGAUGAAAGGUGGCCUCUACAUGUAAGCUAUCACUGAAGGAGGGGAUUGCGUCUGAUUAGCUAGUUGGAGGGGUAACGGCCCACCAAGGCGAUGAUCAGUAGCCGGUCUGAGAGGAUGAACGGCCACAUUGGGACUGAGACACGGCCCAGACUCCUACGGGAGGCAGCAGUGGGGAAUCUUCCGCAAUGGACGAAAGUCUGACGGAGCAACGCCGCGUGAGCGAUGACGGCCUUCGGGUUGUAAAGCUCUGUUAAUCGGGACGAAAGGCCUUCUUGCGAAUAGUGAGAAGGAUUGACGGUACCGGAAUAGAAAGCCACGGCUAACUACGUG